rnacentral:rRNA from 1 species
AACGAACGCUGGCGGCAGGCUUAACACAUGCAAGUCGAGCGGGCCUCUUCGGGGGUCAGCGGCGGACGGGUUAGUAACGCGUGGGAACGUGCCCUUUGCUCUGGAAUAGCCCUGGGAAACUGGGGGUAAUACCGGAUGUGCCCUGAGGGGGAAAGAGUUAUCGGCAAGGGAUCGGCCCGCGUCUGAUUAGGUAGUUGGUGGGGUAACGGCCCACCAAGCCGACGAUCGGUAGCUGGUUUGAGAGGAUGAUCAGCAACACUGGGACUGAGACACGGCCCAGACUCCUACGGGAGGCAGCAGUGGGGAAUCUUAGACAAUGGGCGCAAGCCUGAUCUAGCCAUGCCGCGUGGGUGAUGAA